rnacentral:tRNA from 1 species
GUCUGGGUGGCUCAGUCGGUUGAGCGUCUGACUUCGGCUCAGGUCAUGACCUCGCAGUUCGUGAGUUCAAGCCUCACGUCAGGCU